ACCAUCUACUUCUUUUAUCAUUAAUUCAAAAUCCACGAUGAAGUUGCUGAUUGUUGUGUUGUUUGUCGCAACCUUUAUUACAGGAUUUCAGAUCGUUGAUUCGAGUCCUGCCUCUAGUUCUUGUGGGCCAUUUAACUGUUAUUAUUCUUUUGAUUGCGGAUUUGGGUAUCCGGAUUGCGUCACAAACUGUAGGAAAUACAAGGGAUGUGCUACAGCAGAAUGCAUACACAAUUCGUGGUGUUGCUGUAAGCAGUGUCAUUGAAAGUACAGAGAAUAAUUCUUUCAUCAAUAAAAGACAUAUUUAGCGCCUGUUA